rnacentral:tRNA from 2 species
GUCCCAGUAGUAUAACUCAAUUACUCCGGUCUUGUAAACCGAAAAUGGGAAACCUAAUCCCCUAGGACA